AUUGAACGCUGGCGGCAGGCUUAACACAUGCAAGUCGAGCGGAGUGAUGGUGCUUGCACUAUCACUUAGCGGCGGACGGGUGAGUAAUGCUUAGGAAUCUGCCUAUUAGUGGGGGACAACAUCUCGAAAGGGAUGCUAAUACCGCAUACGUCCUACGGGAGAAAGCAGGGGAUCACUUGUGACCUUGCGCUAAUAGAUGAGCCUAAGUCGGAUUAGCUAGUUGGUGGGGUAAAGGCCUUCCAAGGCGACGAUCUGUAGCGGGUCUGAGAGGAUGGUCCGCCACACUGGGACUGAGACACGGCCCAGACUCCUACGGGAGGCAGCAGUGGGGAAUAUUGGACAAUGGGGGGAACCCUGAUCCAGCCAUGCCGCGUGUGUGAAGAAGGCCUUAUGGUUGUAAAGCACUUUAAGCGAGGAGGAGGCUCUUUUGGUUAAUACCCAAGAUGAGUGGACGUUACUCGCAGAAUAAGCACCGGCUAACUCUGUGCCAGCCGCCGCAGUAA
rnacentral:rRNA from 1 species